rnacentral:rRNA from 1 species
GAUGAACGCUAGCUCCAGGCUUAACACAUGCAAGUCGAGGGACCGGCGCACGGGUGAGUAACACGUAUCCAACCUGCCCUUUACUCGGGGAUAGCCUUUCGAAAGAAAGAUUAAUACCCGAUAUAAAGGAUGGGGAUGCGUUCCAUUAGGUUGUUGGUGAGGUAACGGCUAACCAAGCCUUCGAUGGAUAGUGGUUCUGAGAGGAAGGUCCCCCACAUGGGAACUGAGACACGGUCCAAGCUCCUACGUGAGGCAGCAGGGAGGAAUAUGUGUCAAUGGGCGCUAGCCUGAACCAGUCAAGUAGCGUGAAGGAUGAAGGGUUAUGGGUCGUAAACGUCUUUUAUAUAGGAAUCUGUAUUAUAUGAAUAAGGAUCGGCUAACUCCGUGCCAGCCGCCGCGGUAAUUC